AUGUAUAUAUGUGUAACAAAUCAACGAUAAUUUGAAAUCGAAACCAAAUAGAAGUGUCUCCUUUACGGCAAUAACAGAAUAGUUUUCAAGUCACUGGAUAAUGCUCUGAUACAGAACCAGAAGAAAAAUCUGCAACUCCAAGAACAAAGCCAAGAGAUGGAAGCCUAAACACCUUGAAAAAGAUUUUUGCAGCACCUCUAAGAUUGUGAAGUGCAGGUUAAAAGUCACCUAUUCUGACACCAGUUUUCCGAAAAGAAGUCCCUGAUGGUAGCUACAAAUUGCCGCAGAAUGCAAUGAUAAGGCGUAGGAGUGCCUUAACACCCAGAAGAUGUAUGAUACAUCAAAUUUUGUUUCAGGAUUAAAAUGCAAUGCAAUAAUUUAAAGGAUAAAUUCCAACAGAGUAUACAAUGUUCUGAAAAGUUUUCAAAUAUUUCGGAAACUUAAAAUGUAAGGGCAAGAAUUUUGAUAAUGUCUCAAUUAAGAGAGCAUACUCAAAGA